AGGAUAAUAGUUUAAAAAACAACAUUUAACUUGCAUUUAAAAAAUAUUGAAUAUCAAUUUAUCUUA
rnacentral:tRNA from 1 species